CGCCGAGAGCCACGAGGCCGCAGGCAGACGGGGCCAAGAGCCAGCCGGGCCUCCCCCUGCGCCGCAGCGGGAGACGGCUGACGCUCGCAAACAUCGUCGCGAGGCGAUAAAAUGCCAGUCCUGGCCUCUCGGUUGAGCAGACUAAGAGCAAUGAGUAUGAACGGGAGGGAGCUGGCAAGACAGGGCGUGGAGGGAAUCCACUGAGUGGAUUGCACUGAGCCCAAAAAUAUGCCCGAGAGGUAGGGCAGGAAGCGUGUCCUUUCUCGGGGAGGCGGCGCGGGAAUCCUGGCGUUCUCUCAUCCCCGGACUGGUUCCUGCUUGCAUCACCUGCCGAGAGGUCAAGGCCGCAGCGUGCGGCUGGAAAUCAGCGUGGCAGGAAAGCCCAUGAGCAGACAGAAAGCAGUGGCCUGGUGGAAUUAGUCACCUGCAGGAGAUGAGAACCACGGGGACACACAGCUUUGUGUCCCCAGCGCUAGCACGAGGCCUGCCCCCGUAAAGGAGUGCGUGCAUGCGCAAAAGCAGGGACUAAACCGAACCAGUACUUUAGGUCCCUCUCCACGGGGCUGAGACCACCCAUUUCACAGCUUGUUGCUUUCACAGCUUGUGCUGCUUAUGAGUAACAAGGAGAGACUGCCGAAGGUUCCGGGACAGUGGGGAGGGUAAUUUGUGGGCAGGUCCCAGGAGAGAAAGGCUGCAGGUGGGGGAGCCAGCUGCCCAGGAAGCAGAUGGGAGAGAAGGCGGAGGUGGGCACAGCUGACCCACCGGGGAAAGUACGGGCAGGAAAGGGGGUUGGUCAAGCACAGGAGGGAGGGGAACUGAGCACAUUUGAGGUGCCCACGUGGCGCUCAGGCCUGGGCCAAGAAGCCGGCGUGUGUCCUCAUUUAAUUCUCCCAAGAGCCUUGUGAAGUCAGAAUCAUCUCCAUUUUAUUGAGGAAAACACUGAGGCUCAGAGAAAAUAAGAAACAUAACCAAGGUCAAGAAGCGGUGAAGUGGAAGCGUUGGGAUUUGAACCCGGGUUUAGCCAAUUCCAAAGCCAACAUUCUUUCCAUCUCCCAGUGCUAUCUCCUGGGAAAAUUAGAGUGGAAGAUACAUAUUAUCCAUGAUGAUCCUUCUGCCUCCAUCCUGCUGCCUGCCACCCACAGCCACUCAGUCCCAAGUCCUGUCGACCUGCUUUCCUAGGUAGAUCUAUGAUCCACCUCUUUCCAUCCCUCACUCAGCCACUGCCCCAGCCCAGCCCCUGUCAUCUCUCACCUGGAGCACAGCAUCAGUCUCCCAGCAGACCUCACUCUGCUUCCAUCUCUCUGCCCACAUGUGGUCCACUUCCACAAAACAACUAGAGUGUUCUUUCUGGAACGCAAAUUGAAAUGUCACUGGCCUGCUCUAGGGUGAGGUCCAGAUUCCCCAGGACCUGGGCUUGCCUAUCAGCCUAGAAUCUCUCUCACUAGUCUCCUCUCUGUAGUGGAUUAGAUGAAGGCCCCCAAAAAGACAAGCCCAGGACCAGUCCCAUGGCCUAGUGGUUAAGUUUGGCACACACUGCUUCUGUGGCCUGGGUUUGGUUCCUGGGCGUGGACCUAUGCCACUCCUCUGUUGGUGGCCAUGCUAUGGUGGCAUCCCACAUACAAAAUAGAGGAAGAUUGGCACGGAUGUUACCUCAGGGACAAUCUUCCUCAGCAAAAAAAAAAAAAAAAAGAUAUAUCCACAAUAUCCACAUCCUAACGCCUGGGCCCUGUGAAUGUCACCUUAUUUCGAAAAAAGGUCUUUGCAGAUGUAAUUAAGUUAAGAGUCUUGAGAUGAGGAGAUCAUCCUGGAUUACCUGGGUGGGUCCUAAAUCCAAUGACAAGUGUCCUUAUAAGAAGUAAAAGAGAAGACACAGACAUAGAGUAGAAGGCCAGUGAAGGUGGAGGCAGGGACCAGAAUAUACAGCCACAAGGAAUGCCUGGAGCCUCCAGAAGCUGGAAUUCCAGACGUGAGGAAGGAUUCUCCCAUAGUGCCUCUGGAGAGAGUGCCACCUGCUGACACCUUGAUCUCAGACUUGCCACCUCCAGAGCCGUGAGGAAAGGAAUUUCCGUUGUUGCAGCCACCCAGUCUGUGGUGAUUUGUCACGGCAGCCCCAGGAAGCUAACACCCUCCCCCACAGGGCUCCAGCCAUGCCACCUGGCCUGAGAAAGAACUACCAGACUCCUCAAAGCUGCCUGGAUCUCUUUCUGGACCUUUGCACAUGCUGAUCCUUCUGCCCAAAACAUUCUUCCAUCCCCUUAUUGUGCAACUCACUCCUAUGGUCCCAUCACUCCUGCUGAAAAGUCUUCUCUGCCUCCUCAGCCAGGUGGGCCCCCCUUACCGUGGUUCCUACUUGCUGUAUACUUCUCUUUUCAUGACACUUACGAUAUUUUACUAUCAUUUUUUGUUUGUUUCAUUAACCAGUAAGUGGGUUCUGUGAUGGCGGGGACUGCUGUCCCCCUGGGGCCAAGUGCACAGUAGUCACUUAAUAAAUAUCUGCCCCGCACCUAGCACUUCUUCCUUACCCUCCCGCAUGCCCCGCUCAUGUGUCUCCUUAGGCAGGAGGCUGUGAGCAGAAACCGUCACUCUCCCUGGCUCCCUGGUAAGAUCUUCUUCCCCUGUCGUUAGGCUCCUCGAGACUUUCGACAGUUCUGCUUCCAGCUCGGGGGCUUGAGCUGAGGCUGCCCCCACAGCGGCUGUGACCCCCGGCCUGGCUCCCAGUGCCUGGCCCCUGGAUGGCACGUCGCCGCGGGCAGGGGAGAGUUCUUCCCUCGGGAUUGACACACAGGUGUCCCGAGGGUGCCAUCCUCCUCCUCCUGGAGUCACUAGCUGGGACGAGGCCAUCUUUGUCCCUGCCCAAUGCCCCCAGCAUGUGAGGAAAGCUUCUUCUCAGCUGUAAAUACAGAAGUAAACCCAAGAAGUGGGGUGGGGAGAGGAAAGAGAGGAUGAGAGAACUUAAUGUCAUCUUCCACCUCCUUGUGUCCAGUGGUCCCUGAGGCCGUUGCCACCCCCAGACGUCCCCAAUACGUAAAGUAAUAAAUUCCCUUCUUUUUGCAAUCUGGUCUGAGUCCAUUUUCUGUCACCUGUGCCUGAAAGCGGCCUGGCAGAUGCAUGGCUCCUGCAGCCUGACAGACGUCUGCCCGGUGCUCCUGGCCCUUCUCGGGGAGUGGCGGCACCCUCCGUUUGAGCGAGGAGCCGUCUGUCCGCCCAAGCUCACAGCCUUGAGGUGCGAAGGGGAUCUGAAGCCAGGUCUGCCGCCUUCACAGCACAAGCGCUGCUCCUAUCCUGGCUGCCCAGCUGCCUCUCAGGACUCAGGCGACACCAGGCGGCACCCGCUGUCUGUCCCCAGAGCUCCCCAAAGCCAGAGCACAAUAGUUCUAGCGAAAACAGCAGCAACAAAGUCCACGGUGCCUAAAUACUCACGUCUGCAUUCUGCAGGGUCUGCGACACCCUGAGUCAGUAAGCCUUACACUUCUCCUGGGCCCUGACGACUAACGCUGACCAGGAGCUUCCUCCAGACUCGGAUUAUUUUGCAUCUUUAGCAAUGGGACAGCAAGUUGCUAAGAAGUGAGGAGCCACACGUCCACCCAAACAGCCUGUGUCUGUUCUCUAAAGCAAGCUGAGUGUUUCUCUUCCCUCAGCCCCAGAGAGCCAGGUCCUCCUGGGGCUCAGUCUCUCCCCCAAUAGGCAAGGGCAGUUCCUGACUGUCACUCUGUGACACUGGAAGCACCUGGGAGGGUUCACACAGCUUUGUUAGCAGCCAACACCCUGGCUCUGAGGGCCUUGCUCACACUGAGCAACAGUGGCCCUCCCAGCACCUCCAGGCCCGGGGCUCACCGACUCCUGCGUCCCCAGGCAGAGCACGUGUUUCUUGUCGGCUUCGAAUGCAGAGCUCUCCACUGCCCAGAGCUGCCUUCCUGUGGUGCAAACAAGGAGAAAGUGAAAAGCGACAUCUCUGUUCGUUGUGCUCCGUUGUCUGAUGGCUCCCGCCUCACCCACAGGGCAUGUGGAUCGCUGUUAAAUAGCUGAAAGGGAAGACCAGCAACUUAGUUCCGUGGCCUCACCUGGAUGAGCCAGGCCUACCCCUCGUCCCCGGACACUGCACGUUCCAUGAGCCACGCCCGCAGCAGUCUCCGGUGCGCCUCUUCCUGUGGAAGCUGCCUGUCUGCAGAUUCAGCCUGUCCACGCGCGAGGCCCUGUCAUGUCCUGGAGGGCGGCAGGGAGCUGUCCAACCACGACGCUGCAGAGCAGCUGGACCCGCAGAACGCCGUCCCCACUGCUCGCUGCUGGUCAAAAUAAUGAACAGAGGGGAUGCUGUCCCCACCCACUUCCCAAAAGGAGGUGUGUAGUGUAAAAGACCAUGGAACUAGAUACGCUUUUCCCUGUUAUCUAUUUGGGAUCUCUCCAGUUUCUCCUACUAAAAAAUAAAA
ensembl:lncRNA